rnacentral:rRNA from 1 species
AUGGCUUCUUCGUAUGGCGUUGAUUCCUUGCUUGGUCCGAUCUUCGCCGCCACCGCAGCUACUUCACCUCGCUCGUCCACAAACCCAACUUCUCAGAUCGGUGCCCUCGUCACCACCGCCACGCGGUCAGUGUCACCAUCGUCUUCUCAGUUCAACAAACUAAAUGAGAUGUGUGAUGCAGUGGGCAAGGUCCAGAAGGCAGUCGCUGAUUUGGGACAUCAGCUAUCUGCGUUGUCUCAAGUUCUUCUUGCUGCAGCAGCCCCCAUCGCCACCGCCACCGCCACCUCCCAUGCCACCGCCGUGGUCGCCACGCCUACAAGCAGGUUUCCCGUUGCAGCAACUGGCACCACCUCAGCAUUGGCGCCCACUAGGCGUUCGACUGAAUGCUCGAGUAGUGUUUUGACCUCCAUCACUGCGCAUCCGAGCGGAACGCCUCCUGCAGUCACCACCAUCUCCACCACCUCUGUUGCCUGCGUCAUCACCGCGCCUCCAACCGGACCCCCUGCGGCAGUCACCACUGCUACUGCUUACCGCGUCAUCAGGAUGCACUGGAGUGACCUUCGUGUGGUGAAUGACAUCCCCAGUGAAGUGUCUCUUUCAUGUACACAAGCUUCAAAAAUGUUGCCCACCAACUGUUUGACUGAAUGCCUGAGCGACAUUAUGUAUCUGAAGGAGGCAAGGUUAACAACCAAAACGGCUCACCUAUCUCCGCCAGCGACAUUGGUCAUGCCUGUCAUCUCUGUGCGUACAUCAACCAACAUCAACACCACCAGAACCGUUGGCGUUGGAUGCCCAGGACUCCAUCUGCAUUCCCAGGUCAGCGGCGCUCAAAGCCACUGUCACUGUCGUUCCAAUACAGUCCAUGGUGACAAGUGCCUUCAUAGAAAAAUGCCUCGACAAGGACAGCCCAGAGAGGGACAUGUCUUUUGUGGCGCUACUAUCAUGGUUUUCUAUCAGCCCUGUGUGCCAGGUGUUUGUCGUUGGUUUCCUUCCUGCAGAGAUACGACCACCAUGGCGACCACCUCUGGUCUGUAG